rnacentral:misc_RNA from 1 species
GAUGAAGAACGUAGCGAAAUGCGAUAAGUAAUGUGAAUUGCAGAAUCCAGUGAAUCAUCGAAUCUUUGAACGCACAUUGCGCCCGCCAGUAUUCUGGCGGGCAUGCCUGUCCGAGCGUCAUUUCAACCAUCAAGCCCCGGGCUUGUGUUGGGGACCUGCGUCCGACGCAGGCCCUGAAAACCAGUGGCGGGCUCGCUGUCCACACCGAGCGUAGUAACUAACCUCGCUAUGGAGUGGCGCGGGCGCCUGCCGUAAAACCCCCAAUUUCACAAGGUUGACCUCGGAUCAGGUAGGAAUACCCGCUGAACUUAAGCAUAUCAAUAAGCGGAGGA